CGAAGCGGGCGUAGCAAUACGUCAGCGGCAGACGGGUGAGUAACGCGUGGGAACGUACCUUUUGGUUCGGAACAACACAGGGAAACUUGUGCUAAUACCGGAUAAGCCCUUACGGGGAAAGAUUUAUCGCCGAAAGAUCGGCCCGCGUCUGAUUAGCUAGUUGGUGAGGUAAUGGCUCACCAAGGCGACGAUCAGUAGCUGGUCUGAGAGGAUGAUCAGCCACAUUGGGACUGAGACACGGCCCAAACUCCUACGGGAGGCAGCAGUGGGGAAUAUUGGACAAUGGGGGCAACCCUGAUCCAGCCAUGCCGCGUGAGUGAUGAAGGCCCUAGGGUUGUAAAGCUCUUUUGUGCGGGAAGAUAAUGACGGUACCGCAAGAAUAAGCCCCGGCUAACUUCGUGCCAGCAGCCGCGGUAAUACGAAGGGGGCUAGCGUUGCUCGGAAUCACUGGGCGUAAAGGGUGCG
rnacentral:rRNA from 1 species